CCUGAUCUCAGGUGAUCCGUCUGCCUCAGCCUCCCAAAGUGCUGGGAUUACAGGUGUGAGGCACCACACCCAGCCCUAUCUGUUUUAAACAAAUAAUUUAUUGGCAGAUUGUCCAUGGUUGAGCAUAACAAAAACACCUUGUUGAAAGACAAGCUUAGGUAACUGCUAGCAAAACACUGGGUGCACUAUUUUUCUGGAUAAAAUUUAUACUUACUUUCUAUAUUACCCUUCAAAAGGGAUCUCUUCAGGUUAAAAAUCACAUUUAUGCUGAAGUCUUUAUUUGGGGGUUAACUAAAAAUCUCAUAUGGGUUCAUAACUGAAGUUACUAAUAAUUUAUUUUUAUCACUUGUAAAAAUUUGCUCAAAAUUUCAAAAAAUAUUGAUUUGUUUUUUAAUGAUUUUGCAGGCUGACUUCCAACCUAAAUUUUGAUAACAUCCAGUAAGUCAGUAUAGUUCUAUGACUUCAUGUUUUAACUAAGAAGGAAAAUUCAUAGAUAUUCCUAUUAGCUUUUAUAAAACUUCAAAAGUCUCAAACUUAAGUUUGAGUCUAAAUUUUCUGACACUGGCCCUUUUUAAUAUUGUAAGUUUUUGUUCACUUUCUUAAGUAAAAAGCAUUUAAUUACUAUUUAGCCUUUAAAUGGGAAACUCAGGUAAUGAACUGCUGACUUUUCUAAAGUUCUUUAACUGAUCAUUUCACUAUAGAGGGAUAUUUACCUAAUCACUUUCUGUAUUUUGCAAGUGCUCUUUCUAAAAAGGAAUGACUAUUAUAGCUCUGUUUCCCCAAUCUCUAUAGGAUUCAUGAAAAAUUGCUUUGUAUAAAUAUAAAAGCACCAUAUGUGUUCUUAUCUCCUAUGGCUGCUUGAAGCUCAUGGUGGAUAAGCCUUUUGGUCAGUUUUAAUUGUUAAGUACAGAACAAACAAUUGUUUGGUGAUGGUCAGGUUGAAAGAGAGCAUAUAAGUAUAUCCCAGUGGAACUCACCAAAGAAGACCACACCUCAGAAACUACUGCAUUUUCUUGUUUUGUGUUGGGUUUGAUUUGCUUUUGUUUUGAAUACCAGCUCUUUUAAUAUAAAGAUUCUUGGUACAGUGAAAUCUCGUAUUUCAAGUGUUAUUCUUCACCCACCUCUUCCCCUGCCAUUGUAUUUCCCAGCUAUUUCAAGGAGUUUUAACAAUUUACAUUGCAUAUUAUGCAGUAGGUACUGCUUUUUCAGAAAGGCUUGGAAAACAUACCUGCUAUAAGUAAUUUGUUCAGAUGUAGCCAUUUACCUGGCUCUCAAGUCGUCUUUAUGGAGCGGGUCUUUGACAAAAAUCUUCCUUGUUUGCUUGGGAUAAGUGAAGUCCAAAUUCUUACAAUAUGCUAUUCAGGAUUUCUGAUAUUUAAAAAGAGAAGACAAAAUCUUUAUAUCCCUUAUUGACACUUUCCUCAAGAAGGGUUGUGCUAUUAUUUAUUUUUAUUUUCUAUUAUAAGAAAAGUCCAUCCUUUAAGUAGUUUUUUUUACCCUCUAAUUUCAUACCAAAUACCUGAUCAAUGGAAAUGAUAUAUUUAUUUAAGCAGCAGACAUUCCUGAUCCAUCAUAUGAAAAGUGCCAGCAAUAAUUAGUUGGGAACAGAUAAGAUCAAUUUCAAUAUAAUUCUACUUUGUUUUUAGAUACUAAAUUAAGAUUCAAUUAACAUUCUCCUAUGAAUUCUGAAUGUGAUAAUGUGAUUCAAACAGUCGUAUUUUUAGUAGGAUCUUAGUAACUCAGGAUAGCAUUCCAUACUAACCUCAAGUUAGCAAAACAAAUUAGCAAAACAGCUUGGUUGUCAGUGAGGAGGCUGCCUAAAAGAUCAAGAAGAUUUUCUCUUUUCUUUCUAUUUAGAAACAUUGCAAGAAAACUUGGAUAGUCUUCACCAGACCUGCCAUGAUUUUUUGAGAUUUAGGCCUCAGUGACAUGCUACUGGAAGUUUCCUGCCAGCCUUCCAAACUAAGCAUCCACUCUUCCAUCUUCCCGAAGUCACUCACCAAUAAAGGUAGCAUCUUUAAGUUCAUUUUUGAGAGGUAAAGGAGGGUCUCUCCCUGACCAAAGGAAUUUUUUUUUUAUCAGAAUACCUUGAAAAGUGGAUAUAUAAAUUUGGAAAACUUAAUUUCUUGACCGUGUUCAAUAACAGUUUCUAUGCAUGGUUUUUAAUGUGAUGUAAAUGUGUUUCUUCACUCCCCCCACCUCAUUCUGCCUCUUUAAUGAAUAUUUUUAUUGGAGUUCAAACUCCAUGCCUUAUGUGCUCACUCAGUUUUCUUUUUGACCCUGUUUACUCUGUCUGUAUGUAUUCAGAUUGUGUCAAAUGCUGGCAGAACCUCUAAAACAGUCAAGAAAAUGCUUGAAAGUUGAUUUGUCAUAGUGUAAAUUCAUGAUAAAAUGUCUUAAUGUUAUUUGGAUAUGUAGUACAUAGAAACAGAAAAAUAAAGUAGUUUUUUGUAACUUAAAAUAGAGAUUUGUCCCUUUCUUACUCAUUUUUAGGAAUCAUGUUUAUCGUUUGCAUUUCUUAAACUAUUACUAAGGCUCCCUUUUCUCUGCAGGAAGUAAGCUGCAUGCAUUCUUUCACUUUGUGUUGAGCUAGUUUCUGUAAUUGUGACUAAUUAUUUCCUUCCUUAAUUCACUCUACUGUAUCUACCUAAGGUGCCCCUGGAGUUUCAUUUGAGUAAUUAGUGCCUUAAUAUGUAAUCUGGAGUGCAAUUUCUGUGCAUUUGCCAGAUCAGAUUGUACAUUGGCUGUCCAGCUCAGCUUUCAGUAAAUAGUCUUAUAGUAAUGACUGUGAUUACUUAAAGGUAUCAGAAUGAUGCUGCACAGCAAGGAGGCCUCCUCUAAUUAACCACAUUCACUCCAGGUUUAGGGAAGCCCUCUACAAGGAAACUUUGUGACCUCUUAUGCAUAAGAAAUGAUGGGUAAUUUUCAAAGCUAAAUUUUCACUUUACAUAUAUUUUAAUAGUGUUUAUUUUAUUGAUAAUCAGCCCUCUGGAGAAGAAUUGUUGAUAAGGAAGGGUGGUGAGUGUGAUGGGGGAGGCUAUGUAAAUGUGAGUAGCAGAAAUUAGAAGAGAUAGUGUGAGAGCUCUGGAGAAAUUCUGGAAUGCAAUAGAUUAGAGACAUCUGGCGAUUUCAGUGCAAUCUGCACAUAUAGAAAAAAAACUCUGCCCACUGCCAUUCUCCACCGUCCUAUCUUCUAGUCUUUUCAUUUAUAUAGAGUAUUGAGAUAAACUCUGAAAAUUUUAAAUUGAUUCAGUUAUUAGUUAUUAUUAGCUAGUAACAUAAGCGUUUUGUUUGGGUGAAGAAGUGAAUGCAUAGAAAGGAAGUCAUUGAAGUUCAUUUGAGACUCAGUGGAGCAUUUACACUGUCAGAACACAAGGCCCACAUAUUUCUGAAUGUAACUUUGAACCUCAUCCUGAAUAUCCAAGUAGGCAAAAAGUGAAAGCUGUUCAUUAGAUACGUAAUUUUGUGUAAGUAUGGAUAUUUGACUGCAGACUAUACUGUAGAUUUCACAUUUAAACAUAUUUGAACACAUUUCAGUCCAAAUAAAUAGUUAUAUGAUCAGGCAUAUCAUAAGUGAUAGAAUAUUUUCAGUUUGAAUAUUUUGCAUAAAAGAUACAAGGUAGGCAAUUAUAUUAUCAAACAUGUAAACCAAAUUGGCCAUUCUGAUUAUUCAGGGAUUCGGGGAUUUUUCUGUUAUAAAGUUUGAGAACAAGUAGAAAAUGGGCUUUCUCCUUAUUUUUUAAUCCUUUACACAAUUAAUUUUAUUUCAACUUGAGUUACAUCUAGACUUCUUCCAUUAAAAAAAAAUACUGUUUGGUUCAAUUCUUAUCAGGUAACAGACAUCUCAGGAAAAGUGAAAGAAAACAGGCAACCUCUAAGUUUUACAUUUUUUAUCUCCUCCACAGUUCUUCUAAUUAAAAAAAAAAAAAAAAAACUCCCCAGAAGUGUUGCUGAUAUGGCAAAAAAUAUAUAGCAUUUCUUCACUUUGGAUUGGGAAGGUUCUUGGGAUUUUAUGGUAAUUUAAUAUAGACUAUGUGUGACAAUUUUGUUAAAAUCAUACUCUAAUAUUCGGACAGCUUUGGACAUCUUAAGAUGACUUAGUCCAAGAAUAAUGAAAACCUGUGCAAAAAUGUGAAGAGGUACUCCCUAUGCAUUCGAGCAGUAAAUGUCCAUAAGCUUAUGAGUUCUGUUCAUGUCUAUUGAGCUGUAUGAAUAAAUUAUAUUUUAGUAAUUUAAAUUUCUUUAUGAAAAUUAGUUUUCAGAGUUGCCACUCUCAACAAAAUUCUAAAAGGCUAUGUACAACAAUGAUCUCUAAAUAAAAACCAAGUUUUAUUUCAUGGGUACAUGGCUUUUCUGUGACCCUUUCCAACAGGAAGUCAGUUUGUUCAAAAUUAGAAGACUGUUUUUUCUUAACUCUCCCCAGUUGUAGCCUCUGGUGGUGUGACUCAUAGACUUCCCUGGUAAUCACACUUUGAACCUUAACAAUAAGAGCAUGCUAACAGAUUUAGUAGUUUUAUGCAUCUAGAAACAAAGACAGGAUGUUGACAGCCUUUAGUGAUGAAGUAUUUAAAAUAAAUUCAUACUUGUAAAAUUGAAAACUAGAGAUUCAGCUUUAGUAAAAACAAUGUAAUCUAAACAUUUAGCUACGUAAAUAUUUUCUUAAGUCCAGAUAACCUCUCAAAGAAACUGAUUUCGUCCGGUGAGGUGGUGAGUGCCUGUAGUCCCAGCUCCUCGGGGGGCUGAGGUGGGAGGAUCGCUUGAGCCCAGGAGCUCUGGGCUGUAGUGCGCUAUGCCAAUCGGGUGUCUGCACCAAGUUCAGCAUCAAUAUGGUGACAACCCCGUUUCUUAAAAAAAAAGAAAACAAGAAAAGAAACUGAUUUCAUGUCAAAUGGGAAAUACAAAGAAUGUCAGAUUAAAAACAUGGUUUAUAUUAAAUAAGGCUGUCAUUUGUUGGGAGGUAAGGAGAGAAUGGAGCUUAGAAAGCAGCCUCCUGAUAAAGGGUGUUUAACACACUUUCUAAAAUUUAGGAUGAUUUGUUGCCCUUCAAAUCCUACCAACUUUAAAAUAAUCAAAUCUCAAGCACAGCAAACCAGCUAGGUAAUUAUUUCCGGGUAACUUUCCCUAACUCAGAAACUGCUAAUGACUACUAAGUGCUUCAGUUAUAAAUCUGACCAAGAACUUGCAUCAAAAAGGCCAGAAAGUUAAUUUCAAAAUCUUACGGGAAAAACUGAUAAUGACGUUCUCCAUCCCCCCCCACCUCAUUAUUUCCCCACUCUCUGAACCAUAUCCUGUGUGAACAUUCUUAAUAGCAGUGUACUACACUUUGUAAGACAAAAGUUGAAUUCUGGGUUGUUUUCAAAUGUUUAGAAUCAUAUUUUUUUCUCAUGUGUACAGGGAGGAAAAAAACAUUAUACAAAAAUUUAUCCAGGAUUCUACAAAUGCUUUAAGUAGAUUCAACAAUAAAGGAGUUAUACUUACUCUAUUUAUGUACUUUGAUCAGACAGGGGCACACAGAGUGUUGGAUAUUCAUAGAAAUGCCCUUUCUAUCAUCAGUUCUGUCCAUCCAAAUCCAAUCUAGGGCCCUGCAUGUAUUAAAAUCCGUUAGUUUUUUAAGAGUUUUCAAUACGUAUUUAGACUUUCUCUACACUUCCUACCUGCCUCAUUAUUUAAGGCACUUACCACUUGGAUUGUUUUAGGGCCUAUCAUAUCUUCCUUGCAAAGUUGGAGGCCCAUUGAGUGCAGAAACCAAGACUUCUUUAUCUCUAUAUUUCCUUGUGGUGUUUACCAUUGUAACUUGAACCCAGUUGGCUCUAAAACAAACCCAUAGAAUCAAUCAAAAUGCCUAACUCUAUUAGCUGAGGGCCUUGGAACGUGAGGGAACAUCAUCUCUGUUCAAAUUCAUUCCUAGGUACAUGAGUUUCUUAGGGCUGCCAUGACAAAGUACCCCAAACUGCAUGGCUUAAACAGAGAUUUAUUGUCUCAGUUGUAAAGCACCAUGUUUGCAACAGCAUUGGUUCCUUCCAAGGACUGUAAGGGAGAGUUUGUUCUGUCCCUCUCUCCUCUCUUUUGGUAGUUUGCUGGCAAUCAUUGAUGAUCCUUGACGUGUAGAUGCAUUACCUCCAUCUCUGCCUUUAUCUUCAUAUGGUAAUUCUCCCCGUGCCUAUCUAUCUCUAUGUCAAAAUGUCCCCUUUUUAUAAGAACAUAGCCAUACACCCUAAUGACUUCAUCUUAACUUGAUAAUCUGCUAGGACCCUGUUUUCAAAUAAGGUCAUAUUCGCAGGUCCUGAAAGGUAGGCCUCAACAUCUUUUAGGGGGACAGAAUUCAAUCCAUAACACUAGGUAAGAUUCUUCUCUUUCUUGAUGAAACUCUUAAACUCUAGGUUUAUUACAAACAGAGCCACUGAAGAGUAGUUAGUCCAGAGGUUUUCAAAUAUAGUGUUCUAAGAAGCUCUAACUCUCCAACAAAGUAUCUUGGAAGGACUUAGGGAGUGAACAGGGCUCCUGGUUUUAUAUCUGUUCCAAUUAAUAUUUCCAUGUAACAAGCCAGCCCAAAACUUAGUGGUGUAAAACAACCACAUUAUGACACUCAUAUUCUGUAGGUAAGAAAUUUGGCAUGGCAGAGACCUCUUAUUUAUGCUCCAUAAUGUGUGGGACGUCAGUUGGAAAGACUUGAUGGCUGGGAGCUUGAAUCAUCUGGAGGCAUCUUCACUCCCAUAUCUGGCAUCUGAUUCUAGCUGUUGGCAGGAACCUCAGCUGAGGCUAUCAGCCAGACUAGACCUUCCCAUGCAGCCUGGGCUUCCUCCCAGCAUGACAGCUGCAGGGUAGUCAGGCAUCUUACAUGAUAGCUUAAGGCUCCAAAGCAAGUAUUCCAAAAGACAAAAAGGAUGCUGCAUCAUCUUUAAUGGCCUAUCCUCUAAAGUCACAGACCUCACUUCUACCAUACUCUAUUAGUUAAAACAGUCAUAAAUCUUGCCCCAUGUUGGAGCAGAGGCAGAGAAGACAUAGAACCCACCUUUCAGUGGGAGAAGUGCCAGUGUCACAUCUUAAGAAUGUGUGUAACAGCAGCUAUGGUUGUAGCCAUCUAUGAAAAAUGCAAUCUGUCACAAGAUCUCACACCAAAUUAUUCAACCAUGGAGCAGCACUUCUAAAUGUUUUACAUGUAAGGACCGCUAACUCUUUAAUGUAUGGUAACAUUUAUAGAUAAGAACGAUAGGAUGCCUAGUAGCCAAGUAACACUCAUGAAUUUAAUACAAUCUUUCAGCAUAUCCAGUGAUUACUGUAGAAAAGCGGAAAAUUGACAAGCCGAGUAUUUUCAUUUCUCCUUUUCUUUAGGCAAGCUGGGAGAGCCUGGCAGAAAGCAUAUUAUGAAAUAACUGCAAGAAAGCCAUCAUUUCAUUUUAUUGCCUCUUUAAAAUCAUUAUCUUUUUGGUGGGAUUUCAAUGAGGCACUUUUACAAAAUUUGGUUGGCACUCAUGCGUCUCCUAGUGUAAGCCAAAAUUCCCUAAAUUGCUUAGAGACAGGUGGGCACAUACAGGCAAACACACCCCUUGUCUAUGACUUACACAAAUGAAAAAGAGGAAAUGUCUCAUCAGUCUCUGUGGUAAAAAUGUGCAGAGACCAGGGGUGGGGCCUUAGCCAACCCCCUGAGCUUCCGUUUUUAUCCCAGCACAGGAGUGUGCUCAGAGCCCUAGCUUCCUGCCAUCCCCAGCCUGACCCUAGUGAAGGUUACAAACCCUCCCAGCAACUGCAGGACAGGCAGCGAGAGCAGGUUUCUAGGCUUCUGCCUCCUUGCUUUGCAGCAACAUGCUCAGUUAGGUCACAUCAUUAUUCUAGAUCAGGAAGAACAUUUGGGUUGGAAAAAGUUUUCUAGGAAAUAAUUACUCAUGAGCAAAGGGACCAGAAAAGUCCCAGAGAUGUUCUCCAGCAGACAAUUUAAACUAAUGACUCGCUGCUGGGCGGCCUGCCCUAUAAUGACUGAUAUAAACCAUGUCUAUGUAAUGCUGUAUUAAGAUCUCCCACCAGCCUCCUAAAUCUCCAAACCAAUUCAUUGAGGGCUUGCCUCACUCAUGUUUAAUCUUGUAAAAUCCACCAACACAUUUUGCUUGUUCAGAAAGAAUAUUUAAUAGUUAUGAUCAUCCAUGAUAAUGUUGUAGUGCAGAUGUUGAACUGGAAUCUGUAUGUCCCUUAAGAUUUAGAUGAAAUUGGCCGUACCCCAAGUCCACUGCCCUCUCUAAGGUUUCAUAAAUUUCCAGUGUGUUUACAUUUUCAGACCACUGACUCUGAGCCUCUGUCUCUACGGAACGUCUUCCAUUCAUCAGCUUACCAUUGCUUAGGUUAGAUCUCCAUUCUAGAGUUUGAUCCCUGUUCUACCCCUCUUAAAGCCACUGCCCUCUUCCUGGAUUUCCCCCAACACUCACGCACCAGGUUUUUGUGCAUUUAGAGACUUUAAUGAAGGUUUGGAGGGACAGCUGAGCCUUCAUGAGAGCAGUGCAAGCUACUCUAAAACCCCAUGUUUGUAAAAGCCACCCCCAACUUCCCUCUCCCAGCCCUCCCGUCUUUUUCUCUGCUCCACAACCUCAUCUCAGGUUCCUCACUUCUGGCAGAGGGCCCUCUCACCUUCUUGUUUCCUGGUCUCUCAUUCUCCACUUCCUCACUCUCACCCCCGCCCCCUCACAGCUGACCCAAGUGUUUCUCUACACACUUCCAUCCUGUAGAGGGGAUUCUGGCAUCUGCUACCCAAGUUGCUGCUUCUUGCUGUCUUUCACAGUCUUCCUCUUCUGCCCUCUGAAUAAGCCAAAUCUUCAAGCUUACCCCUCAGCCUGUUGUCCCCCUUUGCCCUAACCCCAGCACUUGGUGGCCUCAUUUACCUUUCUGUGGCAUCUCCUGGAUCUCUACUUCCAGUCAGCAUCUCUUUUCCACCUCCCACCUCCAACUGCCUUCUGGACAUUUCCUCCUGUCCUGUCAUCUCAAGCUUCAUGUGUUUAAAAGCAAACCUCUUCUAGGCACAACUCUCAAAUUGGCAACUGCCUCCUAAAUAAUCUCAUCAUCAGCUGCUCCCCCUCCAUGCUAGACUCUCUCUUCUUCACAGCUAGACUACUGUUCUCAACUGUAACUCUGACCUUAUUGCUCCUUUGCUCAAAAACCUUCCCAGUGACUUCUUGAUAUUGCCUGUGGACCUUACCCUGACUUUCAAGGUGGACCACAAGAUAGGCCUGACCUGCCUUUCCAGCACAAGCCCUGGAGUCCAAAAGGAGUUCCAAUUCAUGCUAUCCAUUUGCCUGAUGCAUGACUUUGGGCAAGUUCAUUUAAACUCUCCAGCCUCUGUUUAUAUGAAAGAUAACCAUAUAUUGACCCUUCCCAGAAAGUACUAAAAUGUCUUGAUGCUGGUCCCACCCUCAGCCAAGUACCUGAUUAGCUAUAUCAUGGAACAGUUAGGUGGGCUGUGAGAAGAACUGAGUGGAGUUGGGGGAAGAUGGUUCGUUCUCCUUUCUCUGAAGUUCAGAUGUUGACAGGUAGCUGAAAUUAUAGGCACUAAGGGCCAGAGCCAAAACUUUGGCUUACAUCAGAGAAUCUGAGCCUGGGAGGCCCUGAUGUAACGCAUGGCCAUUACACAUUCGGUCCAGAGUUUACAUCCCAUCUCUGCCACUUUCUGCAUGUGUGUUUUGGAGCAAAUCACUUAGUUCCUCAAGCUACUCCCUCCUCAUCUGCAAAAUGGAAACCUAUUCUAAAAGUUCCUGUGAGGAUCAGCGGUCUGAGGUAUGUGAUGUGCCUAGCUCAGUGCUUGCACUCAGAAAACUUGCUAGUCUCAUGAUGACUAUAGUCUGAGCUCCAUCUCUGGAUAAUAUAAAAUUACCUACAAUACUGCACAUUUUCCUAAUGUCAACAUUUUUAACACCCAGAACGUGCUAGGCAUUGUUGUAGAGGUAGCAAGUUUGUAUCUUUGUCAUCAAGGAGCUGGAGCAUCACAGAGGAGUCACAGCUAAACAGCUAUGGCUGGGCAGCAGGAUGAGCAAGGCAGUGAGUGUGUCAGGGAAGCCCUCUGGAAACACAACUGCUUUCUCAGCCAGCCAGCAUUUUCUGGGAACCUUCCAAGUAGCGGAUACUGUUCUAGAUACUUAAGGACCAAAAAAUCAAUACUAUGAUCCUUGUUCUCAAGAAGUCCAUAAUCUAAUAGGAAAAGGCAUCCAUGCAUUCAGAUAGCUACAAUGUGUUGUCAGAGCUAACCUAGAAGUCUGUUCACUCUAGGAGCAGCGGGGAAAGUGGGCCAGAGUCACCUGGCCAUGGGAAAUGUUUCAGGAGACGAACCUGAACUGAGUCUUGAUGCAAAUGAUCCCCAGAAGAGAAAUGAGAGGACGUCAGGGAAAGAGCUUUUAGGGUGGGGACAGAGGCCUGAAAGACCAGGUGGUGUCAUUUGGAGGGCUUGGUGCCAGGGCAGGGUCAUGGCCAUUGUAAUGGAUGGGAGGUAAAGAUGGCAAGAUGUGAGGGUCAGCUUGAGGGUGCCCACGCCACAGAGCUCUUUAUUUUAUCCUCCAGCAGUGGGAAACUGGGGAAGAUAUUUAAGCCCAUCCUUAGUUACAUUCAAAGGCAGGACAACCUUACAGUCUGUCUGAGCCUCCUGUCUGUGUUCAAAUUCUUGUAACAAGAAAAACUACCAUCUGGUUUUUUGGAAAACUAAAGGCUACAAAGAGAAGCCAAGAGUCGGCUGAUUAACAAUGCCCCAAGCAAAUUUCACGGUGCAUGAGACUCAUAAACAUCAACGUGUUGCUUCAGCUUGUUCUUGGCAUCACUAGACCUCAGGAAAACCACCCAGCAGACUCAUUGUCUUUUGUCCCUGCCUCUUCCACCUUAUUUCACACCCUGGUUUCUUCCUUUGCUUUGCUGCUGCUUUCCAGCCGAUUACAGGAAAUGUGCCCUGUUUCAUGUCUGGAAAGUCAAAAGGAAACCACCCAGUUUACCUAAAUGAACUCUGAGCCCCAUUCUCACUGCAAAGUUCUCCUCCUCCCUCUGCCUCUACCCCUUGUACUGGUGUGCUCAUUUGUGAGGUGUCAUUAUUCUCAGGGGUAUAUGAGAAUGUGCACAGGUUUUUAUCUGCCCAUCCCCCUCAAGCCUGCUUCCUGGGUAAGUCCAGGCUGCCUGCUUGGAGUCCUGCGGGCUGGGUAACCCAGGGCGAGAGAUGCACUGGAAGACGUAGCUUGGUUAGCCAAGUGUCCCCAUCAGACCUCUUGCUCUUUUUCUGUCCCCAGAGGAAAGGUGGAGCUUUCCGGCCUACAGAACUUAGUUUCAUUUUCCCGUUCUUUCUAAUGCUCUGUUCCUGCCCUACCCUCCUGGGUAGCUUGGGUCUUAGUGUUUCUUCUAGAAAGCACUCUGCAGAAUGUCUUUGUUCUCCAAACCAAGGGCUUUGAUACUACUGGGAAAACCACAGUCUUGAAAUGCUAGCAAGCACCCCUCUCCUCCAAUGGUGCCAUUGCUUAGUUAUUUUGCAACCCCUGCCUCAGCCUCUGGCAGGACCCUGUCUGUCAGGGCAGGGAGCCACAGCAUCUCUGACACCCACACUCCCCUGACCACACCCUGGGAGGCCCUGACUCUUCCCACCACUUUCAGAUACAGAGGAAGUGCCACAACUUGGAAUAUGAGACUGGCCCCUACCAUGGCUCUUCAGAGGGACCAGGUGACACAACCUGAAAGUGAGAGACAGUUUAUCCCCAUAGGGUGACAUUGGACCAAAUAGAGGGGGAAAAAAAAACCCCAAAGAAGCUGCCAAUAAACUCUAUGCCCUCCUUCCCUCCUGUGGAUGAUUCCUAGGCUCAGUGGUUUGGUUUGUCCUGCCAGGGAUGUCUCAUACCACCAAGCAUCCGGCUGUUUUGUCAUGAAGCUGUGACCAACUCGUUAACGAGUAUUCACUCUCCUUCCUCCCAGCCUGGAUUUUCCUUUCUCUUAUUUUUGCAACCCCGCCAUGGCACAUCCCGAAAAAGCAUUAGCAGAGAAAAAAGUAUCUGGGCUUGGCACUAGCAAAUGCACAUUCUCCCAGCAAAAUGCUGUAACUUUAGAAGGAAAAUUAGAUGAAGACCCCAGAGAGACUCUGGAGGACUAAAGAUAAAAGACAUGCUUUUGCAACGGCUUUUAUUUAUGGUAAGAAUAAUUAGAAUGAUAUUGUUUAGAAUUGUUCCAAUAAUAAAUACUUGUUCAAGCAUAAAGUUAAUACGUGUAUAUAUAUGUACUGUAUAUAAACAAGAGCAAUGUUGUAGUAUUGCUGUGGUCACUGCCCUUUGUGAGGCAGCUCAUAAAAUACACCUGUGUAUUUCAUUAUUUUAUUAUUCUUAAUAAUUAAAUUAUCCUUAAUAUAAAUAUGUUGCUUCUUGAAUUUCUUUUGGUGUGUUUUUAGUUUUUGAGAAUUUUGAAGGAUAAACCAUUGCCUCUGCACAGGGUGGGGCAAAUGGUGAGCAGUCUGUUUAUUCAGCAGACACCAAGUUCUGUCUGUUUUUCAGAACUUAGCUGGGAACUAGAGAAUCAGAAUGUAAAGACACAUACUCUUCCCUCAGUGAGCUGGCAGGGGACAAGAACCAGUGAACAAAUGUCUAAGAUGGACUGCAAUCAGUACUCUAUGCCCAGGACUCUAAUGGGCCCAAAAAGGGCAUGCAGUCCAGGUGGGGAAGCACGUAGUCAGGAAAGGCUGCCCCAGAGUAGGUGAUGUCUGAGCUGUAUGUUGAAGGACAAGUGGUGUAGAAAAACAACCUAUUGCACGGCCAGAGUGACACCAUCUUGAGGUGAAAUUGCCGUGAUGGCUAAUAUUUGACUCCUACCUAGCAAAGUUUUCUGCAGCAAGGUCUUUAAACAAUGUUAUAGCAUAGAUAGCCUGAAAAAGAUGCUUCCCUUACCUUCCCAAUAUCACAAGUUUCACAAGAAAAUCUUAAACAUGAUCACCUGCCCAUGUUUUACUCUAAAAGCUUGCUACAAGUGUAGGAAUCCACCGUCUCAUGGCCACCAGAGACCUUGUUUCUGUUCCUAAGUCCCUAGUAAAAGUUUUUUUCUAAGAAACUGGAUUUGUCAACUUCUUGCUUUGGCCUCUCAGUUCCCUUGGCCUUUGGAGUUAGGUUUGCAUAGACCUGCUCACCACAUGGAACAAGUGGGAAUUAGCCAAAGAAAGGGAGAAGGGUAUUCUGAGAGGCUAGAGAUAUGGGAGAGAGCAGGUCCAGGGAUUGGAACAGUUAAAAUGUUAUCAGUGCUGUCCAGAACUAUCUAUGAAAGUCUGACAUCUGUGAUGUCAAUAUGGCAGUUACUAGCCACAUGUGGCUGUUGAGCAAGUGAGUAAGUGAAAUUUUAAUUAUUUUAUUUUUAAAAUUUAAAUGUAAAUAGCCACAUGUGGCUAGUGGCUACUGUAAUGAACAGUGUAGCUCUACCUAGUUUUUUCAAAGUAGGUUUGGUUUUCAUUUGAAAAGUGGAAAGGAGUCAGUACACAAUGUUAAAACAGAGUAAUUAUAUGAGUGGAUUAGAAAGAAGGAUUACUUGCAAAUUUGAAAGCAGAGUACUUUGGACUGUUUUUAAGAUGCAUUCACUUUCCAUGACCUUCUUAGAGAAGAUUAAAAAAA